UUUUAAACACCUUCACGUGUAUUACAAUAACGUUAUUCCUCCGUGUUUCUCUUAGCUUUGUGAGAAUCAGAACCCUUCUCUCACUCUCUUCAAGCCCUCACCAAUCCCUCAAAUCUCUCACUCACUCACUCGAUCGCUCUCUCUCUCUCUCUCUCUAAACCCUUGAGUCUCAGAGAUUAAGAUUCAACCUUAUUCAGCUAGGUUUCAUCUCAGAUCCAAUCUCAGAGUGUUUUCGAUUUCGAAGUUCUCUCUCUCUCGAUUUCGAAGCUCGACCGCCGCCACCAUCACCACCACCGUUGACUAAGCCAUCUCUGUGCACUCUGUCUCUCUCUGCGUGGCUGUGUGUGUGGUAUGAGACAAGAGGCAAGUGGUAUCAUUGGAGAUCUCUGGUCCAGAUGCCUCAAUUGAUGAAAUAAUAGAUUUUUUAUGUGCUGCUCAAAUGGCAAAGGCAACAGAUUAUCUACUACCUGAUGAUGAUAAGUUUUUUAUUUUUUAU